UCCUGAGCGCAAAAGUCUAGUCCCCGAUUACUAUGUUGAUAGCAUAGCCGACCUGCUCCCUGCUCUCACAGAUUAAGAAAAGGAAAUGUUCCAGCUACUAAAAGGAUGCUACACAAAGAACUUCUGGUUCUGAUGCCUAUUUUAAAAGUGAAUUAUGUAUUGAAAAUUGAUUUUAUUGGUCAAGAAGCAUGCAACAAAAGACCAUUGAUCAGAAGUUGGAUCGGACUGAAUCGUGCUUGAAUUCCUUGAGUAAUGUCAGGAUAGACCACUCAGCUCAUUUGUCAGUCACUGAUGGUGGGAAUUCUUCAUGGCAACAGUGAAUUUACUAGCAUUUUGUUCUUCAGUGAGAUUUCUGUGUCAUAAAUAUGUGCAGGGUUUUUUUUCUGAAGCCAUUUUGGGGUCAGUGUUGAUGAAGCAACUACAUCAACGUAUUUAGUGCUUCCUGUUGAAAUCCUGUGGGUUGAUGGUAGGGCACAAGAAAAAUCCUUCGCAGAUCUUCCUUGGCAGUGACUGAGAACAGGUGUGCAAACCAUUUUGCCCUGCCGAUCUGCAGUAAACAUGAUUGCACUUUUCAGGUGCUCAGGUAGUUUUCUUCUUGCAGAAUUAGUUGCCAGAUUGUCUGUCAUCUUUAAAAAUUAAGUAUGUAGACAUAAAGAUGUUUUAAAAAAUCUUUUGGGAACCAGGGAGAGAGAUUUCUUUUUUGUUUCAAAUAUAUUUCAAAGAGUUAUCAUGCGUGGGCAGCAUUUUCAUUAUUGAGGGGGCUUGAAAUUUCUCACAUUUUCAUACAGCAAUAAUUGCGUUGUCUAUAAUGGAAGACACUGUGAUUAAACUUACGUUAAUCUCUCCAUCUCUUUUGAAGUGCUAAAAGGUAGAUUUUCUUUUUUUUUUUCUUUUAGGUUUAUCAGCUUCUCAUUUGUAAGUCUAAAGAUUGUUCUCCACUUUUGAUUAUGUAAACUGUUUCUGUUUGAAUCAACUUAAAAAGAAUGGAUCUCUUUUUGGGGGAUUCGUGCUUAUGCAGUUCCAGAGAGGUUCAGGAACGUGUCAAAUCUAUAUUAAAUGCUUAGAUCUUCAGGGCUGUUGCUCAAGCAUGCUUGCCACAAAGUGGAACCUGUCGUCUGUUUUCAUGGCAUCUGCAUUUCUUACAAAGCUGCACUGUAAAAAUACCAAGCCGACACUGUAAAACUGUUACAUAACUUCAGUCCUGUCUUUGAGUCACAUUAAACAUAACUCUUGCUUCUUU